GAUGAACGCUGGCGGCGUGCUUAACACAUGCAAGUCGAACGGGCCAUAUUCGUAUGGUUAGUGGCAGACGGGUGCGUAACACGUAGGUGACCUGCCUCGGAGUGGGGAACAACUCCGCGAAAGCGGAGCUAAUACCGCAUAUGCUCAGCGAUUCGUUUUGUUGAGUAAAGGCGCAAGUCGCUUCGAGAUGGGCCUGCGGCGGAUUAGCUAGUUGGUGGGGUAACGGCCUACCAAGGCGAUGAUCCGUAGGGGGCGUGAGAGCGUGGCCCCCCACAUUGGCGACUGAGACACGGGCCGAAACUACCUACGGGAGGGCAGCAGUGAGGAAUAAUUGCGCAAUAGGGCGGAAAGACCUGACGCAGCAACGCCGCGUGAGGGACGAA
rnacentral:rRNA from 1 species